AGACUAGCAUUAGGCCUUGCCUCUUUAUCUCUUAUAGGAAACCCUGGAAAUGCAGUCUCUUCUGCUGAGGAUAACGGCUUGUUGCAGCUCGAUUUCCGUUUGAUUGUUUCGCCUCCUGUUGACAAUAGUAAGCUUUCUAAUUUCUAUGCACAGUUUCUGCUUCUUUUAUGCUACAAUGUUUCUCUACUGUAGAAUGGUGUUUUCUUAGUUGUUUAUGUUAUGCAGAAAUUGCAAAUGAGAAGA
rnacentral:misc_RNA from 1 species